UUGUGGGCAGAUUUUAUCUUGCUAUUUUUUUAUUGGUUUGGGUAGAUCAUGGAAGUUACUUUGUUUUGUUUCUUCUUCUGUUGUUUUAAUGAAUAUAUAUUCUCCUUGUUGAGGGAAAAAAACAAAAGUAGAGAAUUAAAGGAAAAGUUAUUUUGUAAUUAAUUGAAGGAGGUGUUGAGGUCUCCAUCUUCACAAAUUAAAUACGUGGAGAGUCUAUCUUUGAAAUUGCAUGCAUAAAUAUGGCGAUGUCUAUGGAAAGAAAAUCGUGGCAUUAUGCAUUUGUGCAAUGGUGGUGAGCUCAUUCUUGAUUGGAAAUGCAACAUCAACACCAACACCAACACCAACAUUUGAAGAGGAAAAACAUGCAGUUGCCUGCAGUCGAGGACAUUGCCUACCACCUCCCAAUCCUUCUUCUGAUAGAGGCUGCCAAGCAUCCAACAGAUGCCGAACCACACCACCCUAGAAAUGAACAACUUUAUUCCUUAUCAUUGUCUUUACUAUUUAUUUGCCUACGUUUAUUUUUAUUUAUAUCAUGGAAUAAAUAAAUAAUAUGAAUAAACUAAUUUACUA